UACGUAGGGUGCGAGCGUUGUCCGGAAUUAUUGGGCGUAAAGAGCUCGUAGGCGGUCUGUCGCGUCUGCUGUGAAAUCCCGAGGCUCAACCUCGGGCUUGCAGUGGGUACGGGCAGGCUAGAGUGCGGUAGGGGAGAAUGGAACUCCUGGUGUAGCGGUGGAAUGCGCAGAUAUCAGGAAGAACACCGAUGGCGAAGGCGGGUCUCUGGGCAGUAACUGACGCUGAGGAGCGAAAGCGUGGGGAGCGAACAGG
rnacentral:rRNA from 1 species